GUGGCUGUAGUCGCCAUCGCAGGAUCGCAGGAUUGCCAGGAACUCCUCAUGAUCUUCGGGCUCCCAGCCGCCUGUAAAAGGUACGAGAUUGGAGGGGGGACGGGACGCUGGGGCGGGACAAGGCGGAAGGGGCGCCCUGCUUCCCCGUCCCAUCCCAUGUUUUCCCACCCCAAAACGAUUUCCUCCACGUGGGGACACGUCGUAGGCACGCGUAGGCUCUUCACAUCACACAGACGCACCUGUGGGGCCGUGCUGAGCCAUAAAUUCUUCGUACUCCUCUACCUCGGGAGCCAGCCCCCCUCCGCCAUUCCCGCCACCGCCGCCGCUGCUGCUACCAGCUCUGAAACCACAGCCAUUGCCUCCACCUCCGCCGCCCGUGGAUGCUCGGCGCUGCCGUGCUUGGGAGGUGGGCCGCCUAUAGGGGUAGCAGCGGGACAGCGAGGAGGGACAACGGAAGGGUGGGUUAAAAUGCUCCUUUCCCGGCCCCUCUCCGUUUUUCCCCUCACCCCCUUGACAUUGUCCCUCCCUCCCCCUUCAAUGCGCGCGCGAGAGAGUCAUAAGACAUGACAUCAACACAGCACUAGUACGCAAAAACGCGAUCGCACAACCGGCACACAAACCCAGCCUGAACUCUUUCUUAACCCACGCUCACGAAGAAUGGUACCACAGAAACCGCAACCGCACGCGCAUGCACCAUCCUGCUCAAGGCCACAGCGCCGAAGACCCCCAAUCGGUCGGGACCACAGGAUCAGACCCACGCCGAUUUCUCCUCCACCUCCCAUUGAAGUCACUCGGGCGCAAUUCCUGGAUCCCACCUGGGUCCAGCGCUUGCGGGACGUAAGGACCCACAGGGACCUGCA
rnacentral:lncRNA from 1 species